GCGGCCUGCGCGGCAGAGAGAAGGAUGAGACUUGGAGCGCCUGAGGACGACCUCGUCUUCCUCUAAAACUGACCUUAUCGGCGGCCGUUAGCCGCGUCCACGGUUUGUCGGCUCUCCUGUCGUAGUCCUGAGCCUCGGCCACCUCCACAUAGUCGCUGAAGCGGAUGAGGAUCUUCGCCUCCCUCAGCUCCUCCACGGAGUUUGUUACCUGUGCUUCCCCUACAUCACCUGCGGGGGUCGCUCACCUGGUCAGCUUGGUGGCCGUCUGCUGCCGUGACUCCAGCCGCUCCUGGUCCGACUGCAUGGGCAGGAUGUUCUUCUCCUCCAGCUCCCUCUUGGAGGGCCGGUUGCUCAGCUUGAUGGCCAGAGAGUCUCUCCGUAAAAUCUUCAUGGCGAGCGUACCUGCAGGAGGAACACGGGGAGGUCAGCUGAUCCAGAUUCUCACUGGGCAAAGAUCCUUUUGCAGACUCAAAAAGAUGAUGACAUCACCAUAAAAAAACUCUUUUUUUUCCUUCAAAAUCCAAAACAUUCUUAUUGGUGAUAUCCAAAGGAAGAUUUGAAAUAAAAAUGUUAUGAACUAA